AUUUUAUUUUUCACUUAAGCAAAAUUUCGCCAAGACUCUUCUCCUGCUGCUAACCUAGCUUUGUGAUGCUGCAACUGGAACAAAGAUACUGCGUUUUUUUACAAGACCCCCCACCGGCAAAAAGAUUAUGACUCACUGAAGGCUCAGAUUAUGAAAAUAGGAAUUUAUGAAGAUGAAAAUAAAGUAUACUGAAGAUGCUGAAACUACUGAUAUUGAAAAUAAGAUUGAUUGGACAAAGAUCUGUAUG